GAAAUCACAAAGUCCACCUCAGUGAAGGGUCGUCCACACCCCCACAGCAUCUCGGGUCGAAGGCCCAGGCCAGCACGAGACACGCAGGCUGCAGUCACUGGGUUGCCGGCCGCCACGCUGCAACCGGGAGACCCCAAUACGGAGCUUAGCCCCAGCACCCGCAGGAAGCAGGCUGCGGCCGCUACGGAUGCUGACGCCUGAAGGGAGGACCGUGCGGGUGGAGGACUGACUGCUGAUCUCAGAGCCACUGCGACCCGCAGGCGCCCAGCUGAGCCCCUCCAUUCUUGGCGGACUCCACGGGCCCAGGCCGGGCAGGCGACUCUCCUCCAGCUCUCAGCAGCCACGGGGCCAGUGCUGGCCAGGGAGCUGGGGGACAGCUCCACGGUGGGCUGCACGGAGCCCGCCCAGGCCAGGGGUAGGCCAGCCGGCUCUCUCCAUCUCAGCUCGGUCCCAGAUACCCUCCACAUGUCCUCCAGAACCCUCCAGGUUCCCUCCGGGUACUCUUUAGGUACUCAUCCAGAUACCCUGCAGGUACUCUUUAGGUGCUCAUCCAGAUACCCUGCAGGUUCCCUCUGGGUACUCUUUAGGUGCUCAUCCAGAUACUCUGCAGGUACUCUUUUUUUUUAUUUUUUUAUUUUUUUAAAGAUUUUAUUUUUUCCUUUUUCUCCCCAAAGCCCCUCUGGUACAUAGUUGUAUAUUCUUCGUUGUGGGUCCUUUCAGUUGUGGUAUGUGGGACGCUGCCUCAGCGUGGUUUGAUGAGCAGUGCCAUGUCCGCGCCCAGGAUUCGAACCAAUGAAACACUGGGCCGCCUGCAGCGGAGUGCGCGAACUUAACCACUUGGCCACGGGGCCAGCCCCUCUGCAGGUACUCUUUAGGUGCUCAUCCAGAUACCCUGCAGGUACUCUUUAGGUGCUCAUCCAGAUGCCCUGCAGGUACUCUUUAGGUGCUCGUCCAGAUACCCUCCAGGUUCCCUCCAGGUCCGGCUUCCAGUACUCCUCCAGUGGCUGCCCUGGCACCCUGGCUCUUGCUCCUGAGGACAGAGGCCCGCCCCCCUGCUGCCCUCCACUUCCAGCUGCUCUUGGCGUUGGCCCUCGCUGCUCCCUUCUGCAGACAUCUCUCCUGGUGUCACAGCAGGCCCUCAGCGUGGGGAUGCGUCCUUCAGCUGCUGUUCAUCGCCCGGUGGAGGUGUGGGGGUGUGGCUGGCCAGGAGCCCCCACAGACCACACAGCCGUCUCCUCAGCAGGGCCCCGGCCCAGGCUGCAGCAGGGAGGGAGGAGAAAGCGGCAGAUGGGGCGGCACUCCCCUGAGGGGCCUGGAGCAGGACUGCCCCAGAGUUGCCCUGAGUCGAGGAGGUAGCCAGGCCUCGAUGUGCCUGCGUGGGUCAGUGACAGGAGAGGAGCCUGGGGAGGGGGGCCUGGAGGUAGUGCCUGCUGCUGGAGGUGACACUGAGGCAUCUGCGGACAGCCCCUGGCGCCGCCCGUCCCCCCAGGAGGCGUCUGGGGCACAUCCCUGUGUUCACCACGGAAGGCAAGCACU
rnacentral:lncRNA from 1 species